CUUACCUUACUGAGUAGCUGGAAUAACAGGGCUGAACCACCAGACCCAGAUUUCAAAAUAAAAGAACAUAUGGAAAGACCAGUAUGGAGGACGGGCAGGAGGGGAAUGGGCAGCUUGCAGUGAUGGAAAGAAUAACACAGCUCUCCAGUGCCAAUCGUUCCCAUGGGAAUCUAAAAGGAGCCUGUGCUUCUGGUGCUGGGGUAUUCCUGUAUCUUUGCCUGGCAGUGGAAGAACAUCUGCUGAAAUGGUUCGUCGGAACAAGCAGGCUAGCCUGGGCUCACCUCGGGUGUUACAAAAUAGGUCAGCUGGUUCUCCUGGUAGCAAGGCAGUCCUGCAUUGAUAAGCAGUCCAGAUGGGGCUGUGAUAAUCCCUGUCCUCUCGGUGUCUAAAUCCUCUUCCUAGCAGGGAGGGAGCAAGGUAGAGUACAGCAAGCUUCUCUGAUGAAAGGUCCUGCAGGCCAAGGGUGGUGAUGAGUAGAGGGCCUCGGUCGGGUUGAAGGAUUGGGUGAGCCUGCCCCUUGGGAGGGUGUGCACUCACCAAGAAGCAGGAGUAAGCCAAUGGUGACAAGCCUAAGAAGAGUUCACAGCCACUCUGAAGUUGAAGAGGAGAGAUAGGAUGGGUGCUAAAUGACAGCCCACAUCAUGGGGAGCCACUGAGGUCCUGGUACUGAGCUCCUAAAACCCCUUGGAAUUUCCUGAGUGGAGGAGGUAUUGUGAGCAAAGGGAUGUGGAAGCUAGCUAAUAUUCUUCAUAAAGACCCUUAGACCACAGGCUUUGGAGAGCUUCCAGGGAUCUUGCAAGUUAACUCCUCAUGUUGGGAAGCCUGCUGCUCUUCAAAUGGCCUCUCCAGGCACAGAACCAGAGCUCCUGGGGAAGCAAGCAGAGUAAAUGGCUGCAAGUUUCUCUGGGUGUGAUGGUUUUCUUUGACCUCAUGUCAGGGUCAGGAGGUCAAGGAAAGGUAAGUAAAAAAACAAAAACCCCCACAUCCGUGAACAAUGAACAUUCACAUGCAGGGACAGAGAGGGAAAGGGAGAGAGAGAGAGAGAGAGAGAGAGAGAGAGAGAGAGAGAGAGAGAGAACCACACCCAUACACCCAUGCACAUUCACAUUCAACCACACACACACACAUGCAUGCAUGGGUGCACGCACACAUGCACGCACACACUAUUUCCUGGCUCAUUUUCUUCUCCUCACCUGCUCUUGAUGCUCAUUUUCACCUGUACAAAACAUACCCUCUGUCUAGGGUUUCCAG